rnacentral:rRNA from 1 species
ACUGCGAGUGAGCGGGAAAAGCUCAAAUUUAAAAUCUGGCGGCCUUCGGCCGUCCGAGUUGUAAUCUGGAGAAGUGCCUUCCGCGCCGGACCGUGUACAAGUCUCUUGGAAUAGAGCGUCAUAGAGGGUGAGAAUCCCGUCUUUGACACGGACCGCCGGUGCUUUGCGAUGCGCUUUCAAAGAGUCGAGUUGUUUGGGAAUGCAGCUCAAAAUGGGUGGUAAAUUCCAUCUAAAGCUAAAUAUUGGCGAGAGACCGAUAGCGAACAAGUACCGUGAGGGAAAGAUGAAAAGCACUUUGGAAAGAGAGUUAAACAGUACGUGAAAUUGCUGAAAGGGAAACACUUGAAGUCAGUCGCGUUGGUCAGAACUCAGCCCGGCCAUGCGCUUGGUGCAUUUUCUGAUCGACGGGCCAGCAUCAAUUUUGACCAUGGGAUAAAGGCCGGAGAAAGGUGGCUCCCUUGGGAGUGUUAUAGUCUCUGGUUGCAUGCCAUGGUUGGGAUUGAGGAACUCAGCAUGCCUUUAUGGCCGGGGUUCGCCCACGUUCAUGCUUAGGAUGCUGGCGUAAUGGCUUUAAAUGACCCGUCUUGAAACACGGACCAAGGAGUCUAACAUGCCUGCGAGUGUUUGGGUGGAAAACCCGAGCGCGCAAUGAAAGUGAAAGUUGGGAUCCCUGUCGCGGGGAGCACCGACGCCCGGACCAGACCUUCUGUGACGGAUCCGCGGUAGAGCAUGUAUGUUGGGACCCGAAAGAUGGUGAACUAUGCCUGAAUAGGGUGAAGCCAGAGGAAACUCUGGUGGAGGCUCGUAGCGAUUCUGACGUGCAAAUCGAUCGUCAAAUUUGGGUAUAGGG